rnacentral:rRNA from 1 species
UACGUAGGGGGCAAGCGUUGUCCGGAAUUAUUGGGCGUAAAGAGCGUGUGGGCGGCCAGAUAAGUCCGCUGUGAAAUCUCGAGGCUCAACUUCGAGCUGUCGGUGGAAACUAUCUGGCUAGAGUCCGGAAGAGGAGAAUGGAAUUCCUGGUGUAGCGGUGAAAUGACGCAGAUAUCAGGAGGAACACCAAUGGCGAAGGCAGCUCGCUGGGACGGUACUGACGCUGAGACGCGAAAGCGUGGGGAGCAAACAGG